rnacentral:lncRNA from 1 species
GAACAAACAGAAAACAAACAACCCGGAAACAAUCCAAAUGCCAAUAAAGAGCAGAAUGGAUAAAUACUCUGUAAUGAACUCACACACUGAAAUUUAACACAUAGCACUGAAAAUAAAUGAAUAGGCACUGACAUGGGUGAAUAUCAGAACAAAUGUAGACUCAAAAAAGCCAGCUACAAUUAAAAAAAAUAGCUCUGGUUUCAUUUUUAUAAUAUUUUACUUUUUUUCAUUUUUAAAAUAUUUUAAAUACAGAAAAUAAAACAAUAUAUUUUCAGGUACAUAUGUAUGUGGUAAAAUCAUUAGGGAAACUAAACAACUGACAAGUAUGAAUUUCAAACGGUGCCAAAUUCUUGAGGUAAGAGUAAGGGAGAAGUUGAGAUCAGAAGGGUACGUAAAGGUUUCAAAUGUGUUAUUUCUGAAGCCAGAUUUUAAGAACCCGUGUGUUUUAGUUUUACAUAUGUGGUAUAUACAUGUAAUAAAUAAUUUAAGAGUAUUAAAUAAUGACAUUUUAUGAGUUUAAUAUUUUAAGUUAAAACAAUAGGACAUCAGUGCUUUUAUAGUCAUCUUGUUUUAUUUUCUUUUUUAAAGCUCUUUUUUUUUUUUUAAGAUUUCAUUUAUUUAUUUGAGAGAGAGAAGAAGCAGUGGGGAGAGGCAGAGGGAGAGGGAGAAGCAGACUCCCCACUAAGCAGGGAGUCCGGUGCAGGGUUCCAUCCCAGGACCCUGGGAACAUGACCUGAGCUGAAGGCAGACGUUCAACUGACUGAGCCGUGCAGGCACCUCUGUUUUAUUUUCUUAUAACUUAUCACUAUCUGAAAUUACUAUACUCAGUUAUUGAUGACCCGCUUCUUGUCUCUCUCUCUCCCUUUCCCUAGCCCAUUGCGGCCUUCACAAAAGCUGGCAGUUGGUCUCGUUGGUUCAAUGUUCAAGAGAGGAGAGUGCCUCAUACUUGAUGCAUUUGAAUUUUGGCCUUUCACGGAUCCCAGUGUGACAAGUGAAAGAUUAGGAAGUGCUGCAGCAAACCUCCUUUCGUCUAUCCCAUCACAGGGGAGCAAAAUUACUUGUAAAUUUCCUAGAGAACGUAAUACUGUUCCUGUUAACUGCCUGAAAAAUAAUUUACUUGUAUUAAAGGAAUGUCUUUUUUUGGCUAAUUUCUUAAUGAAAAACAGGGUAGAAACUAUUACUUAAAUGGCAUGGAAAAGCCUGAAGUACUUAAUUACCAAAGAAAGACGGAAAAAAAUGUUAAGCGAAGUGUAACAACAAUUACAAAAUGAGCUACGAAGCCAUUAAACAACAUUUAACGUAUGUAUCUUAAAAUUGUGCCUUUACUCAAAUGGUACUAUUUGGUGGUUUAAUUAUUUUAGAAAUAAUAAAUGAUAAUACUUUAAUGUAGAAAUUAAAAAUAAAUUCUUA